UCUUUUGUAAUUUUGAUGACGCAUAAAUACGUGCGUAUACGAUGCUGUAAAAUACAAAGCGUAGGAGGAAAGAAAUCAUUGACUGUCGGGAAUCCCGGACAUUUGUCUCAUGUGUUUUCUUGGAAUUCUUGUUAUUCCUGUUGCUUCCAAAUAAAACUGGAGACUCCUAAAAAAUAUACCAUGCCAAAAAAUCAUGAUACUCAUAAUGAGGAGACGUCUAAUGUAUCCCAUCAACGUAUGGAAAAAAUCCAAAAUAAUGCUAAAGCCACGGAAAACACGUCUUUGUCCCCUACUACAAAUCAAACCUACUUCGCUAAUGAAAUGAUACAAAUACCUGAAAUAGAAGGAACUGGUUUUAGCUUCAGAAAAUUAUGGGCUUUUACGGGGCCUGGAUUUUUAAUGUCAAUCGCAUAUUUGGAUCCUGGUAACAUAGAAUCUGAUUUGCAGUCUGGUACAAUUGCCAACUAUAAGUUAUUAUGGGUUCUAUUAAGUUCUACGAUAUUGGGACUUGUUAUGCAAAGACUCAGCGCACGUUUAGGCGUGGUUACUGGAUUACAUUUAGCUGAAAUGUGUUAUAGACAAUAUAAAAAAAUACCUCGGCUUAUUUUAUGGAUAAUGAUAGAAAUAGCUAUUAUAGGUAGUGACAUGCAAGAAGUAAUAGGAACAGCUAUUGCCUUAUAUUUGUUAUCAUACGGAAAACUUCCUCUAUGGGGUGGUGUACUUAUCACAAUAAUUGACACAUUUACAUUUUUAUUUUUGGAUAAAUAUGGCUUACGAAAAUUGGAAUUUUUCUUUGGAUUGUUAAUUACUAUUAUGGGAGUUACUUUCGGUUAUGAGUAUGUUAUUUCAAAACCACCUCAAGAUCAAGUUGUAGAAGGAAUGUUUAUACCAUGGCUUAUGCAAUAUGACAGUCAAACAUUGCUUCAGGCUGUAGGAAUUGUUGGUGCCGUUAUAAUGCCACAUAAUUUAUAUCUCCACAGUGCUCUUGUAAAGUCAAGAGAUGUAGACCGAAGACAACCUGCCAAAGUUAGAGAUGCGAAUUUGUAUUAUUUUAUUGAAGCUAGUAUCGCACUUCUUGUUUCAUUCAUUAUUAACGUAUUUGUGGUUUCUGUUUUUGCACACGGUCUUUUCGAUAAAACCAAUCAAGAUGUUUAUGAUACUUGUAAAACAAGUGACAUUCAAAUAGAUGAUAAUUUAUUUCCAAGAAAUAAUGAAACAUUUGAAGCAGAUUUAUACAAGGGUGGAAUAUUUCUUGGUUGUUCAUUUGGUAUGGCAGCAAUGUAUAUAUGGGCUGUUGGUAUCUUAGCUGCUGGUCAAUCUUCUACAAUGACUGGAACUUAUGCAGGCCAAUUUGCAAUGGAAGGUUUUUUAAAUUUAAAAUGGGCCCGAUGGAAGCGAGUACUUUUUACUCGGACAAUUGCUAUUGUCCCUACAUUCUUAGUAGCAUUUUAUGCCGAUAUACAAAACAUGACUGGCAUGAAUGAUACUUUAAAUGCUGUUAUGAGUCUGCAGUUACCCUUUGCUACCUUACCAACAUUAGCCUUUACUAGUAAUCCACAAAUAAUGGGAGAAUUUACAAAUGGAAUAGCAAAUAAAAUUGUUGCCACUGCUUUAUCUGCAGUAGUGAUAAUAAUAAAUAUUUAUUUUGUAAUAGAUAAUGUAGAAAAACUUCCUCAUCAUUGGGCAAUAUGGUUAGGUAUUUCUAUAUUAGCGAUUUUAUACCUAUUAUUCUGUAUAUAUUUAAUAAUUCAUAUGGCCGUAAAUAUGGGAGCAAACACCCUCAGUAAUUAUUGGUUUGUUAGGAAAUAUAUUAGUGGACCCGUUGAUAAUAACUUUGGCCUAACCAAUCCUGCAAUAUAUGCAAGUUUCUUCAAUACGUCGGAAACAUCAUUAAGUACCUAAUUAUACAAGUGUAAUCAACUGUAUGCAAUGCAACGAUUUUAUAAUUGACAUGUAUCUCAUAUUCAUCAAAUAUGAAUAUCAUUUCCAAAACUAUGCUUUUAUUAUUAUGAUGUCAGCAUGACAUUGUAAAUGGACAAAUCCGGCAUUUACAAUACAAGAGGGAUUAGGUGGAAGCUUUACAUCACUAUCAAAUUUUUGAUGAUUAUUAACAAUAAA
rnacentral:misc_RNA from 1 species